CCUGUACAGAUUGAAGAAGAGGAGGUGCUUGCUAUCUUGAGGGACUGGUGAAGCAAUUGGGCUGCAGUGCUUGUCAGAAAUAAUGGAAGUGAGCCAACUUUCUAGAGGUGCUGAUGUUGAACACUCUUGGAGAUGAAAUGAAAAAAGUUC